ACGGAGGGUGCAAGCGUUAUUCGGAAUUACUGGGCGUAAAGCGCGUGUAGGCGGUCCUGCAAGUCUGAUGUGAAAGCCCCGGGCUUAACCCGGGAAGUGCAUUGGAAACUGUGGGACUUGAGUACUGGAGAGGAUGGGGGAAUUCCCGGUGUGGAGGUGAAAUCCGAAGAGUUGGGGAGGAAUAUCGGGGGGGAGGGCGCCCUCCGGGACGUUAACUGCGGUGGAGAGGCGAAAGCGUGGGAGCAAACAG
rnacentral:rRNA from 1 species